UACAUUAGCAACAAGUAAUGUAUAGGCGAAUCUUUGUUUACAUCUUUUUGCGCAUGCGCGUGUGGUUGGGUGGCAAGAAGACCUGUUGAGAUGGCGGAACCUGCUAGCAUAAACAAGAAAGUAAGCGGGCGAAAUCCAAAUUAUAUAAGUACGCUAAGCUCCGAAGACCAGAGGAGGUUUAGAGAGAAACUAAAAAUUUGUGUUGCAGACAAAAUCGAACAAAUACAAAGCCCAUAUGAAGUCUGGGAUGACGAAAAAUACUGGUCUGACUCACCUGCAUCUUGGCCACAGAUGUGCUGGGGAGAUAUUUAUUCUUAUUUAGUUGAAAGCCCUGGACCCUUCACCCACGAGAAGUUAAAAGCUUUUAAAAGCCUCGAAGCUUAUAACUAUUUUGUU